UACGAAGGGGGGCUAGCGUUGCUCGGAAUUACUGGGCGUAAAGGGCGCGUAGGCGGACAUUUAAGUCAGGGGUGAAAUCCCAGAGCUCAACUCUGGAACUGCCUUUGAUACUGGGUGUCUUGAGUGUGAGAGAGGUAUGUGGAACUCCGAGUGUAGAGGUGAAAUUCGUAGAUAUUCGGAAGAACACCAGUGGCGAAGGCGACAUACUGGCUCAUUACUGACGCUGAGGCGCGAAAGCGUGGGGAGCAAACAGG
rnacentral:rRNA from 1 species